UGGGGAAUAUUGCACAAUGGGCGAAAGCCUGAUGCAGCAACGCCGCGUGAGCGAAGAAGGUCUUCGGAUCGUAAAGCUCUGUCCUUGGGGAAGAUAAUGACGGUACCCUUGGAGGAAGCCCCGGCUAACUACGUGCCAGCAGCCGCGGUAAUACGUAGGUGGCAAGCGUUGUCCGGAAUUAUUGGGCGUAAAGCGCGCGCAGGCGGCUUCUUAAGUCCAUCUUAAAAGUGCGGGGCUUAACCCCGUGAUGGGAUGGAAACUGAGAGGCUGGAGUAUCGGAGAGGAAAGUGGAAUUCCUAGUGUAGCGGUGAAAUGCGUAGAGAUUAGGAAGAACACCGGUGGCGAAGGCGACUUUCUGGACGACAACUGACGCUGAGGCGCGAAAGCGUGGGGAGCAAACAGGAUUAGAUACCCUGGUAGU
rnacentral:rRNA from 1 species